CCCUUAGAUGUCCUGGGCCGCACGCGCGCUACACUGAGUGUCUGAGAUACGAGUCUGCCUGGUCCGGCUAGGUCUAGGUAAUCGCUAAAAGACACAUCAUGCUUGGGAUAGAUUAUUGCAAAUAUUAAUCUUGAACGAGGAAUUCCUAGUAAGCGCAAGUCAACAGCUUGCGUUGAUUACGUCCCUGCCCUUUGUACACACCGCCCGUCGCUACUACUGAUUGGAUGUUUAAGCGAGGUUCUCGAACUGCUAGCGACUUAGCUUCGGUGAGGUCGCAGUGUGGGAAGUGAACCUAGCUUUGGUGUCUAGAGGAAGUAAAAGUCGUAACA
rnacentral:rRNA from 1 species